rnacentral:rRNA from 1 species
UUCAUCAAUUGACGUUACUCGCAGAAGAAGCACCGGCUAACUCCGUGCCAGCAGCCGCGGUAAUACGGAGGGUGCAAGCGUAAUCGGAAUUACUGGGCGUAAAGCGCACGCAGGCGGUUUGUUAAGUCAGAUGUGAAAUCCCCGAGCUUAACUUGGGAACUGCAUUUGAAACUGGCAGGCUAGAGUCUCGUAGAGGGGGGUAGAAUUCCAGGUGUAGCGGUGAAAUGCGUAGAGAUCUGGAGGAAUACCGGUGGCGAAGGCGGCCCCCUGGACGAAGACUGACGCUCAGGUGCGAAAGCGUGGGGAGCAAACAGGAUUAGAUACCCUGGUAGUCCACGCCGUAAACGAUGUCGAUUUGGAGGUUGUGCCCUUGAGGCGUGGCUUCCGGAGCUAACGCGUUAAAUCGACCGCCUGGGGAGUACGGCCGCAAGGUUAAAACUCAAAUGAAUUGACGGGGGCCCGCACAAGCGGUGGAGCAUGUGGUUUAAUUCGAUGCAACGCGAAGAACCUUACCUACUCUUGACAUCCAGAGAACUUUCCAGAGAUGGAUUGGUGCCUUCGGGAACUCUGAGACAGGUGCUGCAUGGCUGUCGUCAGCUCGUGUUGUGAAAUGUUGGGUUAAGUCCCGCAACGAGCGCAACCCUUAUCCUUUGUUGCCAGCGGUUCGGCCGGGAACUCAAAGGAGACUGCCAGUGAUAAACUGGAGGAAGGUGGGGAUGACGUCAAGUCAUCAUGGCCCUUACGAGUAGGGCUACACACGUGCUACAAUGGCGUAUACAAAGAGAAGCGAACCUGCGAGGGCAAGCGGACCUCAUAAAGUACGUCGUAGUCCGGAUUGGAGUCUGCAACUCGACUCCAUGAAGUCGGAAUCGCUAGUAAUCGUAGAUCAGAAUGCUACGGUGAAUACGUUCCCGGGCCUUGUACACACCGCCCGUCACACCAUGGGAGUGGGUUGCAAAAGAAGUAGGUAGCUUAACCUUCGGGAGGGCGCUUACCACUUUGUGAUUCAUGACUGGGGUGAAGUCGUAGCAGUAGCCAGGUCA